AUACGGAGGAUCCGAGCGUUAUCCGGAUUUAUUGGGUUUAAAGGGUGCGCAGGCGGGAGAUUAAGUCGGCGGUGAAAUUUUGCAGCUCAACUGUAAAAGGGCCUUCGAAACUGGUUUCCUUGAGUGUAGAUGAAGUAGGCGGAAUUUGUGGUGUAGCGGUGAAAUGCAUAGAUAUCACGAGGAACUCCGAUUGCGCAGGCAGCUUACUAAACUACUACUGACGCUCAGGCACGAAGGCGUGGGGAUCAAACAGGAUUAGAUACCCUGGUAGUCCACGCAGUAAACGAUGAUUACUAGCUGUUUGCGAUACAAUGUAAGCGGCUGAGCGAAAGCGUUAAGUAAUCCACCUGGGGAGUACGUUCGCAAGAAUGAAACUUAAAGGAAUUGACGGGG
rnacentral:rRNA from 1 species